UAGGGAAUCUUCCGCAAUGGACGAAAGUCUGACGGAGCAACGCCGCGUGAGCGAAGAAGGCCUUCGGGUCGUAAAGCUCUGUUGUUAGGGAAGAACAAGUAUCGGAGUAACUGCCGGUACCUUGACGGUACCUAACCAGAAAGCCACGGCUAACUACGUGCCAGCAGCCGCGGUAAUACGUAGGUGGCAAGCGUUGUCCGGAAUUAUUGGGCGUAAAGCGCGCGCAGGCGGUCCUUUAAGUCUGAUGUGAAAGCCCACGGCUCAACCGUGGAGGGUCAUUGGAAACUGGGGGACUUGAGUGCAGAAGAGGAGAGUGGAAUUCCACGUGUAGCGGUGAAAUGCGUAGAGAUGUGGAGGAACACCAGUGGCGAAGUCGACUCUCUGGUCUGUAACUGACGCUGAGGCGCGAAAGCGUGGGGAGCAAACAGGAUUAGAUACCCUGGUAGUCCACGCCGUAAACGAUGAGUGCUAAGUGUUAGAGGGUUUCCGCCCUUUAGUGCUGCAG
rnacentral:rRNA from 1 species